UGCCAGCAGCCGCGGUAAUACGAAGGGGGCUAGCGUUGUUCGGAAUUACUGGGCGUAAAGCGCACGUAGGCGGACUUUUAAGUCAGAUGUGAAAUCCCAAGGCUCAACCUUGGAACUGCAUUUGAAACUGGGAGUCUAGAGAUCAGGAGAGGUUAGUGGAAUACCGAGUGUAGGAGUGAAAUCCGUAGAUAUUCGGAGGAACACCAGUGGCGAAGGCGGCUUUCUGGACCAAUACUGACGCUGAGAUGCGAAAGCGUGGGGAGCGAACAGGAUUAGAUA
rnacentral:rRNA from 1 species